rnacentral:rRNA from 1 species
AUUGAACGCUGGCGGCAUGCCUUACACAUGCAAGUCGAACGGUAACGGGCCUUCGGGUGCCGACGAGUGGCGAACGGGUGAGUAAUACAUCCGAACGUGCCCGAUCGUGGUGGAUAACGAGGCGAAAGCUUUGCUAAUACCGCAUACGAUCUACGGAUGAAAGCAGGGGACCGCAAGGCCUUGCGCGGACGGAGCUGCCGAUGGCAGAUUAGGUAGUUGGUGGGAUAAAAGCUUACCAAGCCGACGAUCUGUAGCUGGUCUGAGAGGAUGAUCAGCCACACUGGGACUGAGACACGGCCCAGACUCCUACGGGAGGCAGCAGUGGGGAAUUUUGGACAAUGGGCGCAAGCCUGAUCCAGCCAUGCCGCGUGCAGGAUGAAGGCCUUCGGGUUGUAAACUUCUUUUGUACGGAACGAAAAGCCUUCUUUUAAUACAGGAGGGUCAUGACGGUACCGUAAGAAUAAGCACCGGCUAACUACGU